GACGAACGCUGGCGGCGUGCUUAACACAUGCAAGUCGAGCGAUGAAGCACCUUCGGGUGUGAAUUAGCGGCGAACGGGUGAGGAACACGUGAAGAAUCUGCCUUCAACUCUGGGAUAACUCCGGGAAACCGGGGCUAAUACCGGAUAUGAGCCUUGAUCGCAUGAUCGGGGCUGGAAAGUUUUUCGGUUGAAGAUGACUUCGCGGCCUAUCAGCUUGUUGGUGAGGUAAUGGCUCACCAAGGCGACGACGGGUAGCCGGCCUGAGAGGGCGACCGGCCACACUGGGACUGAGACACGGCCCAGACUCCUACGGGAGGCAGCAGUGGGGAAUAUUGGGCAAUGGAGGAAACUCUGACCCAGCGAUGCCGCGUGAGGGAUGAAGGCCUUCGGGUUGUAAACCUCUUUCAGUAGAGAAGAAGCGAAAGUGACGGUACCUACAGAAGAAGCACCGGCUAACUAUGUGCCAGCAGCCGCAGUAA
rnacentral:rRNA from 1 species